GACGAACGCUGGCGGCGUGCCUAAUACAUGCAAGUUGAGCGCUGAAGGUUGGUACUUGUACCAACUGGAUGAGCAGCGAACGGGUGAGUAACGCGUGGGGAAUCUGCCUUUGAGCGGGGGACAACAUGUGGAAACGAAUGCUAAUACCGCAUAAAAACUUUAAACACAAGUUUUAAGUUUGAAAGAUGCAAUUGCAUCACUCAAAGAUGAUCCCGCGUUGUAUUAGCUAGUUGGUGAGGUAAAGGCUCACCAAGGCGAUGAUACAUAGCCGACCUGAGAGGGUGAUCGGCCACAUUGGGACUGAGACACGGCCCAAACUCCUACGGGAGGCAGCAGUAGGGAAUCUUCGGCAAUGGACGAAAGUCUGACCGAGCAACGCCGCGUGAGUGAAGAAGGUUUUCGGAUCGUAAAACUCUGUUGGUAGAGAAGAACGUUGGUGAGAGUGGAAAGCUCAUCAAGUGACGGUAACUACCCAGAAAGGGACGGCUAACUACGUG
rnacentral:rRNA from 1 species